GUGCGUCCCUCCCAAAGCUGCGCGCUCUGUCGAAUAGAGGCGGACCGGUCUUGGGUCAAGGGUGUGUGGGUAGCUGCGCCCCCUGCUCGAACCUCCAAACCAGCUCUCAAGAAUGGAGGGCGCACCAGGGCCUCUGGCCACUGCAAGCAAACCCCAGACACAUGCACCACCUUGUGCAUUUGGUUCCAUGU
rnacentral:sRNA from 1 species